GCCCAGGCCAGAAAUAUGCUGUGGCCGCCAGCACUGUGGCUCCUCACGGUGCCGUGUCCCUUCUGCACUCCUAGGGGCUGUGUCAGACAGAGCCAGAGGAUGGAGAGGGCGCCCCUUCCGCCGUGAGACUGUGGCCGUGGCAACAAGAGCAGCUGAGCCGCCCAAGCUCCCGCCUGCGGGCCCAGCUGGCCCAGCCCGCAGGGCACCCCACCUGCUGUCCUGAAGCCUGCAGCAGCUGCCACCGUGGUGCCCAAGCUUGGGAAGAGGAGGUGAGGCCUCGAGGUGUAAGUACCCUGCCCAUGGUUACGGGCCUUUGCCAAGGUCAGGGCAAGUGACGCCCAACAUUUUGUGUCAUCUGGACGUGCAUUUCCUCCGCUUCCUUGCUGACUCUCUCCCCUGCGGAAAGCGAGUCCCCCAGGGUCUGACCUCCUCAGCGCUGUCCACUCUGCACCCAGCACAGAGGGUGGCACUCUGGAAAGGCUCACU